rnacentral:sRNA from 1 species
UUUGUAGGUUUUCAACUUUAAAAUAUAUGGUAUAAAAUAAGUUCAUUAAAGUAGGCAUGAGCCACCACGCCCAGCCUAGAAGAGUUUUAAUGAACCUUCCACAGUAGUAAAUGCAGAGACCAGUAGUGGAAAUUCCCAUAUUGGAUAGAAAAGGGCCUAAGUCCAGUGUAAGUAUCUAAAUUUGAUAUGUCCUUUUGUCACAGAAGUGUAAGACUUAAAGGGAAUAUUCUGACCUUCGUGUAUGAAUCUGAUCCACCCAUCCUGUCAGCUAGGAUUAUAAUUUGAGCGGUCAUUUCAGGAGCAUGUGUUAAAUCAUAUGAGUGAAAAAAAAGUAGGCAUUGGAAAAGAAGACUUGGGAAUAAUUGGGCAGAUAGAAUGGGUUCCAUGGAUCAUUCUACUUGCCCCUAGAAAAUGUGAGCUCCUUCUUCAUUUACCAUGUUGAUAAUCAGGUGGUGACUUUUUUUUUCAUAAAUUGUAUUAGAUACUGCACAGGAAUGUGACAAUAAUAGGAUAGCUUUGGGGGCUGGUGAUUUGAAACAGGGACUAUUCAGUAGAUUUUCCCCAUCCUCUG